GACGUAAACGUAAACUGCAAAGAAACUUGUUCGCAGAAAUCAGUUUGCAGUUAUAAACAGAAUCAAGACGUAAACGUAAACUGCAAAGAAACUUGUUUGUAGAAAUCAGUUUGCAGUUAUAAACAGAAUCAAGACGUAAACGUAAACUGCAAAGAAACUCGUUCGUAAAAGCGCAGAAGACAGUUUACAGUUAUAAAUAGAAUCAAAACGUAAGUGUAAACCGUAAUGUAGAGAUCGUACGAAAACACCGAUUUACGUCUGGAUGCAGAUUUGAAAAGAACAGAACUUAGAAACUUGUUCGUAAAAGCGCAGAGAGCAGUAGCUAUGUAGGAGGUUUGCAGUAAUGAUAAAGUGCUCAAAAUGAAAGCAAACCAGAGAUUUAGAGUGGUUCGGUCAGUCUUGACCUACUCCACUUUUGGCUUCCUCCACCGACGAGGUCACCGACGUCAACUAGAAGCCUUCCUUCAAUAGGCGAAGGCCAACUACCCUCUUACAGAUUCACUCCUUUUGACGGGCUUAGGAGACAACCCUUACAGAAGUUUUCUCUCCUCUCUUUACAACUCAAACUUGAAGAAUAGAAAGAGGAGAACUAGCAGUUUUGAGCUCUAAGAAACACAGAAAGAUAGCAAGAUUUCGAGUGUGUGUUCUGUGCUUUCAGUGCUGAAUGGGUGGGG
rnacentral:lncRNA from 1 species